CCAUUCCAGAUUGAAUAUACCCGAUCUCGUCUGAUCUCGGAAGUCAAGCAAUCUCGGGCUUGGUUAGUACUUGGAUGGGUGACGCGACCGCGCGAGACCGAGUCG
rnacentral:rRNA from 1 species